UGGGGAAUUUUGGACAAUGGGCGAAAGCCUGAUCCAGCAAUGCCGCGUGUGUGAAGAAGGCCUUCGGGUUGUAAAGCACUUUUGUCCGGAAAGAAAUCCUUGGCUCUAAUACAGUCGGGGGAUGACGGUACCGGAAGAAUAAGCACCGGCUAACUACGUGCCAGCAGCCGCGGUAAUACGUAGGGUGCAAGCGUUAAUCGGAAUUACUGGGCGUAAAGCGUGCGCAGGCGGUUUGCUAAGACCGAUGUGAAAUCCCCGGGCUCAACCUGGGAACUGCAUUGGUGACUGGCAGGCUAGAGUAUGGCAGAGGGGGGUAGAAUUCCACGUGUAGCAGUGAAAUGCGUAGAGAUGUGGAGGAAUACCGAUGGCGAAGGCAGCCCCCUGGGCCAAUACUGACACUCAUGCACGAAAGCGUGGGGAGCAAAACAGGAUUAGAUACCCUGGUAGUCCACGCCCUAAAACGAUGUCAACUAGUUGUUGGGGAUUCAUUUCCUUAGUAACGUAGCUAACGCGUGAAGUUGACCGCCUGGGGAGUACGGUCGCAAGAUUAAAACUUAAAUGAAUUGACGGGGUCAUAGCUGUUUCCU
rnacentral:rRNA from 1 species